UACCAACUUAGACUGAGUUAU
rnacentral:miRNA from 1 species